UUAAUUGUCUGUUCAGCCUACACACGAGCCAGAUCAGCAGGCUGGUCUGAGGCCUCUACUUGAAAUGAAAGUUCCAGAAAUAUUUGAUUAACUUCAAACUAAGGGCAUUGUGACAGAGAAGACCAGAAUAAAAACUUAUUAAAAUUUGCAUCUCUGACUUGGUGGAGAAGCAUGGAUUUUAUCCGUCCACUUCUGAAAAGGUGGUUCUUGCAAAGAACAUCAUCACCAUCUUCCCAUUGCUUAAAG